CUUUCUGUUUUUGUCACUUGCUGUGUGAUUUUGGUUAUUGACAUGAUUUCCGCAAGGGUGCUCGUGUUUCUGAUUAAUUUUAUGAUGAACAACAAUAGAAAGGGUGUCCGGAUAAUUGAUGAUGCGAAAGGGUUUAUGACUGAGACCUUUAUGGUGAUAGCUUCUUGAUACCAUGUAGUUUUACCUCAAGAAAGAGGAGAAUACAUCGACACAUGAAUGUGCAAGUGAACUCUACUUUUAUGGAGCCAAAAAAGUGAGACAUUUCUUACAUAUCUGGGAUCAGGACAAGGCUUGAAGGUGGGGUACCUGAGGCAUUGCUGAACUAAAUGUUUGGAAUUGAUUUAGAUGCAUAAGAGGAGGUAUCAACUUUCAUACUGUUGCACUUGCUGCAGCAAAUAGGUUUGUUCUUCCAUGGCUGUGAUUGAGGUAUUUCAAUAAGUUUCUCGAACUAAUUAAUGACUUUUGCAUGCAGUAGGUUAGCAUUUGUUUUCACUUAUUUAUAGCCAGAGAUUCCAUGUGCAGAUACUUUGAAGCUUAGAUAUAUGAAAUUGUACAAUGUAAUUGUUUCAAUAUCUGAUAGUUUGGUAUUCCUUGUUGGUGAACAAGGAAACUAGUCAUGGAUUGAAGAUGUUAUUUUAAGAUGGAUUUCGCAUAUCUCAAGCUAUUGAGAAAAACAUAAGAUCGAAAGUAUGCAAACAACAGGAAGGAUACAAGUAGGCUGCCUCUCUUCAGCUGAAGUGAAUCUUUCUGGUGCAGCUGAAUUUUGGUCAUGAACAAGUGCUUAUCUUCACAUAGGGCUCUGUAACUGUUGGUAUUUUACUCAAUGAUGCCAAUAUGAAAUACUCUUGCUCUUUUGUAGUCCCAAUCUCUCUCAAGAGCUACUAAACUGUUGAAGGAAGGGGAUUUAGCUGGUGCAACCUUUACUAUUUUGCGGCACAGAGGAAAGCUUCUGCAACGGAAUUGGGACGAUCCAAUUGCAGCAUGGGCGGAUAGAGAAGAAAAGGAUUGCAGACACGAUGGCAAAACUGGCUUGGAAACUGCCGGCCGGCAUCCAGUACUUUGAUGAACCACCGUGGGAGGAGCAUUCGAAGGGGAAAGCUAUCCACACAUGGAGCUGAUCGUGUAGGGUAGUUUAGUUAGCAUUUCUCUUACUAUCAAAAAGAAAAAGGAAAUUAUUUGCGAGUUCAGUCAAAAUUAAAUGUUAUCUAGGGAUGGCAAACGGGCGGGUCGGGUGCGGAUACCCCCUUUCCCAUCCCCAUAUCUACCUAA